GGGGUUGUGGCUCAGUGGUAGAGCGCUCACCUACCAUGUGUGAGGCACUGGGUUUGAUCCUCAGCACUA
rnacentral:tRNA from 1 species